GGUGAAGAACGCAGCGAAAUGCGAUAAGUAAUGCGAAUUGCAGAAUUCAGUGAGUCAUCGAAUCUUUGAACGCACAUUGCGCCCGCCAGUAUUCUGGCGGGCAUGCCUGUUCGAGCGUCAUUACAACCCUCAGGCCCCCGGGCCUGGCGUUGGGGAUCGGCGGAGCCCCCCGUGGGCACACGCCGUCCCCCAAAUGCAGUGGCGGUCCCGCCGCAGCUUCCAUCGCGUAGUAGCUAACACCUCGCGACUGGAGAGCGGCGCGGCCACGCCGUAAAACACCCAACUCUUCUGAAGUUGACCUCGAAUCAGGUAGGAAUACCCGCUGAACUUAAGCAUAUCAAUAAGCGGAGGA
rnacentral:misc_RNA from 1 species